GAUGAACGCUGGCGGCGUGCCUAAUACAUGCAAGUCGAGCGAACAGACGAGGAGCUUGCUCCUCUGACGUUAGCGGCGGACGGGUGAGUAACACGUGGAUAACCUACCUAUAAGACUGGGAUAACUUCGGGACACCGGCGCUAAUACCGGAUAAUAUAUUGAACCGCAUGGGGCGAUAGUGAAAGACGGUUUUGCUGUCACUUAUAGAUGGAUCCGCGCCUCAUUAGCUAGUUGGGAAGGUAACGGCCUACCAAGGCAACGAUGCGUAUCCGACCUGAGAGGGUGAUCGCCCACACUGGAACUGAGACACGGUCCAGACUCCUACGGGAGGCAGCAGUAGGGAAUCUUCCGCAAUAGGCGAAAGCCUGGCGGAGCAACGCCGCGUGAGUGAUGAAGGUCUUCGGAUCGGAAAACUCUGUUAUUAGGGAAGAACAAAUGUGUAAGUAACUAUGCACGUCUUGACGGUACCUAAUCAGAAAGCCACGGCUAACUACGUG
rnacentral:rRNA from 1 species